UACGUAGGGGCCUAGCGUUGUCCGGAUUUAUUGGGCGUAAAGAGCUCGUAGGCGGCUUGGUUAGUCAGGUGUGAAAUCUCCACGCUCAACGUGGAGGGGCCACCUGAUACUGCCAUGGCUUGAGUCCGGUAGGGGAGUGUGGAAUUCCCGGUGUAGCGGUGAAAUGCGCAGAUAUCAGGAGGAACACCGGUGGCGAAGGCGGGUCUCUGGGCCGAUACUGACGCUGAGGAGCGAAAGCGUGGGGAGCAAGCAGG
rnacentral:rRNA from 1 species